rnacentral:lncRNA from 1 species
CAAUCAUUUCAAGUAAUUAACUAAAUAAUAAUUUAUUCUCAAAUAAAGAUAUUAAUUUUUUGUCAUUAGAUCUAUCUAACGAUUGAAAAUAAAAGUAUCGCAUUUAUAUCAUAAUUUCUAUCUACGUAUUUCUCAAAUAUUGUCCUUCUCAUGCGUAAUACCCACACCCGCCAAUCUUUUCUCAACGUAAUAUCUGUGAAUUUCUCAAAUAUCUCAUUAAUCCACCUAUCAUACACAUCCACCACCUACAUAAUAUCCAGUUAACUUUUCCGACACGUCGUUUCUUAAAUAUCUCAUCAAAAUUCUAAUCUUUUCUCAUCGUUUCUCAAAAAUUCUCUCAACCUAUCAUAAUUUUGAAUUAAACAUAUCAUUGCAUUUGAAUUUAAAUAUUAAAAUGGAUCAAAAUUAAAUUUUAAAUCAAAUAUGAAUUUUAUUGCGAAAAUGUUUUUAUCUUUUUAACUAAUUUUUUCAUGUCCAAAAUUUUUGAACCAUUCAUCUCAAUAAUCUAUUAAAUUUUGACGCAUUUGAAUUUAAAUCGUAAAAUAGAUCAAAAUUAAAUUUUAAAGUUUGAAUUAACCAUGAAUUUCUUUCCAAAAAUAUCUCUAUUUUUUUUUACUAAUUUUUCAUAGAUAGAAAUUUUGAACCAUUCAUUUUG